AGUCGCGUGGUCUAAUGGUCAUGAUUUCUGAUUCACACUCAGAAGGUUCCCGGUUCGAUCCCGGGCGCGACUA
rnacentral:tRNA from 3 species